GCAGUCGUGGCUGAGUGGUUCAGGCGAUGGACUAGAAAUCCAUUGGGGUCUCCCCGCACAGGUUCGAAUCCUGCCGACUGCG
rnacentral:tRNA from 1 species